AGUCGAGCGAACUGAUUAGAAGCUUGCUUCUAUGACGUUAGCGGCGGACGGGUGAGUAACACGUGGGCAACCUGCCUGUAAGACUGGGAUAACUUCGGGAAACCGAAGCUAAUACCGGAUAGGAUCUUCUCCUUCAUGGGAGAUGAUUGAAAGAUGGUUUCGGCUAUCACUUACAGAUGGGCCCGCGGUGCAUUAGCUAGUUGGUGAGGUAACGGCUCACCAAGGCAACGAUGCAUAGCCGACCUGAGAGGGUGAUCGGCCACACUGGGACUGAGACACGGCCCAGACUCCUACGGGAGGCAGCAGU
rnacentral:rRNA from 5 species